AGUAACGGCGAGUGAAGCGGCAACAGCUCAAAUUUGAAAUCUGGCCCCUAGGGUCCGAGUUGUAAUUUGUAGAGGAUGCUUUUGGUGAGGUGCCGCCCGAGUUCCCUGGAACGGGACGCCACAGAGGGUGAGAGCCCCGUCUGGCUGGCCACCGAGCCUCUGUAAAGCUCCUUCGACGAGUCGAGUUGUUUGGGA
rnacentral:rRNA from 1 species